rnacentral:tRNA from 1 species
GCGGGCAAGGUUCUCCGGAAGGGAUUUGAAAUCCUUUCUUUUGCUUAGUUGGCAAUGCCUGCU